AUUGAACGCUGGCGGCAUGCCUUACACAUGCAAGUCGAACGGCAGCACGGGUGCUUGCACCUGGUGGCGAGUGGCGAACGGGUGAGUAAUACAUCGGAACAUGUCCUGUAGUGGGGGAUAGCCCGGCGAAAGCCGGAUUAAUACCGCAUACGAUCUACGGAUGAAAGCGGGGGACCUUCGGGCCUCGCGCUAUAGGGUUGGCCGAUGGCUGAUUAGCUAGUUGGUGGGGUAAAGGCCUACCAAGGCGACGAUCAGUAGCUGGUCUGAGAGGACGACCAGCCACACUGGGACUGAGACACGGCCCAGACUCCUACGGGAGGCAGCAGUGGGGAAUUUUGGACAAUGGGCGAAAGCCUGAUCCAGCAAUGCCGCGUGUGUGAAGAAGGCCUUCGGGUUGUAAAGCACUUUUGUCCGGAAAGAAAUCCUUGGCCCUAAUACGGUCGGGGGAUGACGGUACCGGAAGAAUAAGUACCGGCUAACUACGUG
rnacentral:rRNA from 1 species